CUUCGUGAAUUUUAUGGCAAUGCUUUAAAGAAGGUAUCCAAACAAAGCCCUAGGCCAGAAAUUUUAUCGCAUUUUUCCGCGGGAACGGCAUUGCAGCUUUCUCAAGUCAUCGGGACAGAACUACUGCCCGUUUGGUUGCUGUGCUGAUUGUAUUUUGGUUCUUGUACAGUUCCAUAAGACAGACUAAAGAGGAAGGGAAAGUUAUUCAGUAGCCACCAUAACGGCUAGAUGCAAGUUUAAAAUAUAUUUGUUCCUUAAUAAUGUUCAAUACAAGUUCGAAAUACAGCUUUUAAAUUCUUCCAUACAUAUAAGAAUGUAGAUAUUAUUGUUACUUGAACAUAUUUUAGCUGGUUAUGGCAUUACAAUUUCGACAAAAGGUUAAGAAUCACUACCUACGGUGUUCAACCCCUCAAAUAAUCCCUUUAGGAACAUGGUUGGUUCCUCUUGUGCUGUUGAGAAGGUAGUAUCUCACAUUGAGAUGCCUCUCGUCUGAGGUUGGGCGAGGGUAAUGAUGGCUUGGUCUGUCAUGGGCAUUUACUUUUAAUCUGGGCUCAUUUUCUAUUUCCAUUUGUUCACUUUCAGGCCCACAUAUAUAUUUUCGUAAUGAUCCAUUAAACAAACUCCUACAUCUUAUUUUCUCAGCCCAAUACUCCUUGUAUGGGCUUGCAGGAUUUUGGAGAGGAGUCAGAUCAGAAGGUAUAACGCUUGAUGUCUCUUGGGUCCAGGUCUUGGAACGAUCGCGGGUGUCCUUGGGCAUGGGAAAGCAAAGCUCCGACUCCCAAUUAUUAAGGAAAAAAAUAAAUGAUCCAUGCUGUUGCUCUGUCGCUGGCCAUAAAUGGAGGAGAUUUGAAUCUACAAUCUGAGGUAUCACUAUUUGGCUAUUUGUUUAUCUGUAUCUUUACUUCACUUCCAAAUGUCUUUUCUAAAAGAUAUAUAUAAGAUAAUAAAUUCUCGUUGUAUAAAAAUUCAACCAGUUAAAUCUAACUAGG